rnacentral:tRNA from 1 species
UAGAUUAAAGCCUGUAAAUAGGUAUUUAGUUGUUAACUAAAAGGUCGUAGGGUAAAAUCCUGCUAGUCUAG